UACGGAGGAUCCGAGUCGUUAUCCGGAUUUAUUGGGUUUAAAGGGUGCGUAGGCGGCCUAUUAAGUCAGGGGUGAAAGACGGUAGCUUAACUAUCGCAGUGCCUUUGAUACUGAUAGGCUUGAAUGUACUUGAGGUAGGCGGAAUGUGACAAGUAGCGGUGAAAUGCAUAGAUAUGUCACAGAACACCAAUUGCGAAGGCAGCUUACUAAAGUAUGAUUGACGCUGAGGCACGAAAGCGUGGGGAUCAAACAGG
rnacentral:rRNA from 1 species